rnacentral:rRNA from 1 species
GACGUAGGGGGCGAGCGUUGUCCGGAAUUACUGGGCGUAAAGAGCACGUAGGCGGGAACUUAAGUCAGAUGUGAAAGACCGGGGCUCAACUCCGGGAUUGCAUUUGAAACUGGGUUUCUUGAGGGCAGGAGAGGAAAGCAGAAUUCCUGGUGUAGCGGUGAAAUGCGUAGAAAUCAGGAGGAAUACCAGUGGCGAAGGCGGCUUUCUGGACUGACCCUGACGCUGAGGUGCGAAAGCGUGGGUAGCAAACAGGAUUAGAUACCCUGGUAGUCCACGCCGUAAACGAUGGAUACUAGGUGUGGGAGGUAUCGACCCCUUCCGUGCCGCAGCUAACGCAAUAAGUAUCCCGCCUGGGGAGUACGGUCGCAAGGCUGAA